CAGUCUUUCAGGCGACAGCCUUGUUUUCCCAUUUUUUGUUUCUGUUGUCAAUGUGGCUGUGUGUCCACAACCUUGGGAUUCCCUCAUCCUCAGACUCCAGUAUCCAGCUUCUAAGAUUUCAGUGUUUUUAAGUUUACAGGCAUGAUUAGGAAAGAGUUUGGAAGCUAUGGCUGUCACCACCAUGGAAAGCUGGAUCCAGGUGUUUCAGGGACCAGAGAUUCAGACUCAGAUUCUACUUGGCUUGACCUUCCUUCAAGAGGCCUUCAGGACUUUGCAUAAUGAAGAGUGGGUGCAUAUUCAUCAGAUCCCUCAGGCUGAGAAAUGGAGCCUAACAGAAAAGAUGUUCCCAGUGAAGUCUGAAGGGAUAGUGAAGCACGUGCUCGGGCUUGGAGCCUCACCUGUGCACAGUCUGCUUCUCGAUGCCUCCCUGCCUCCCUGUGAUAGGUCCUCGGCCAUCUGUUCCCUGCCCUGUGGCUCCCUGGGCCCUGCCUGGCUUCCCCCUCUCUGCCCACACUGCUGCCUCCGCCUG
ensembl:lncRNA